GACGAACGCUGGCGGCGUGCCUAAUACAUGCAAGUUGAGCGCUGAAGGUUGGUACUUGUACCAACUGGAUGAGCAGCGCACGGGUGAGUAACGCGUGGGGAAUCUGCCUUUGAGCGGGGGACAACAUUUGGAAACGAAUGCUAAUACCGCAUAAAAACUUUAAACACAAGUUUUAAGUUUGAAAGAUGCAAUUGCAUCACUCAAAGAUGAUCCCGCGUUGUAUUAGCUAGUUGGUGAGGUAAAGGCUCACCAAGGCGAUGAUACAUAGCCGACCUGAGAGGGUGAUCGGCCACAUUGGGACUGAGACACGGCCCAAACUCCUACGGGAGGCAGCAGUAGGGAAUCUUCGGCAAUGGACGAAAGUCUGACCGGGCAACGCCGCGUGAGUGAAGAAGGUUUUCGGAUCGUAAAACUCUGUUGGUAGAGAAGAACGUUGGUGAGAGUGGAAAGCUCAUCAAGUGACGGUAACUACCCAGAAAGGGACGGCUAACUACGUG
rnacentral:rRNA from 1 species